rnacentral:rRNA from 1 species
UACGAAGGGUGCAAGCGUUACUCGGAAUUACUGGGCGUAAAGCGUGCGUAGGUGGUGGGUUAAGUCUGUCGUGAAAGCCCCGGGCUCAACCUGGGAAUGGCGAUGGAUACUGGCUCGCUAGAGUGCGGUAGAGGAGAGUGGAAUUCCCGGUGUAGCAGUGAAAUGCGUAGAGAUCGGGAGGAACACCUGUGGCGAAGGCGGCCCCCUGGGCCGG